rnacentral:rRNA from 2 species
UUAAAUUGAAGAGUUUGAUCAUGGCUCAGAUUGAACGCUGGCGGCAGGCCUAACACAUGCAAGUCGAACGGUAACAGGAAACAGCUUGCUGUUUCGCUGACGAGUGGCGGACGGGUGAGUAAUGUCUGGGAAA